GCACCAUUAGCUCAGUAGGUAGAGCGCAAGACUGUUAAUCUUGAGGCCAUUGGUUCGAUCCCAAUAUGGUGCG